rnacentral:rRNA from 1 species
GAUGAACGCUGGCGGCGUGCUUAAUACAUGCAAGUCGAACGGAGUAUGUAGCAAUACGUACUUAGUGGCGAACGGGUGAGUAACGCGUGAGCAACCUGCCUUUCACAGGGGGAUAAGGCGGCGAAAGCCGCUCUAAUACCGCAUGAGACCACGGGGAUGAUAUUCCAGGGGUCAAAGGAGCAAUCCGGUGAGAGAUGGGCUCGCGUCCGAUUAGGUAGUUGGUGAGGUAACGGCCCACCAAGCCAAUGAUCGGUAGCCGGCCUGAGAGGGUGAACGGCCACAUUGGAACUGAGAGACGGUCCAAACUCCUACGGGAGGCAGCAGUGGGGAAUAUUGGGCAAUGGGGGAAACCCUGACCCAGCAACGCCGCGUGAGGGAAGAAGGUUUUCGGAUUGUAAACCUCUGUUCUUGGAGAAGAGAAGAAGACGGUAUCCAAGGAGGAAGCACCGGCUAACUCCGUG